CCCAGACUCCUACGGGAGGCAGCAGUGGGGAAUAUUGCGCAAUGGGGGAAACCCUGACGCAGCAACGCCGCGUGCAGGAAGAAGGUCUUCGGAUUGUAAACUGUUGUCGCAGGGGAAGAAGACAGUGACGGUACCCUGUGAGAAAGUCACGGCUAACUACGUGCCAGCAGCCGCGGUAAUACGUAGGUGACAAGCGUUGUCCGGAUUUACUGGGUGUAAAGGGCGCGUAGGCGGAGGUGCAAGUCAGCGGUCAAAUUGCGGGGCUCAACCCCGUACUGCCGUUGAAACUGCAUCCCUUGAGUGCGCGAGAAGUAUGCGGAAUGCGUGGUGUAGCGGUGAAAUGCAUAGAUAUCACGCAGAACUCCGAUUGCGAAGGCAGCAUACCGGCGCGCAACUGACGCUCAUGCACGAAAGCGUGGGUAUCGAACAGGAUUAGAUACCCGAGUA
rnacentral:rRNA from 1 species